AAACAUGAGAAUAGCUUUCUCUGGCACAUGGUUGCCAUCACCUGAAAAGAUCAGGAGCUUCUGAGCCCAAGGCCUAGACAACCUAUACCUCCCCCAUUCAGCCCCCUCCCUCCCCUCUUCUUUAGCAAUGAGGCCUAUUCAGCAACACACAGGAAGAACAGCCUUUACAGGCCAGGAUCCACUGCAUAUAGGAAUCUUUCUCAUUGAAAUCUACAGAGCUCAAGAGUAUCUGCAUUUGGAGAAGAGCCUGGGAAGCAGCUAUCCAAGCACUGGGUGCAUUCCAAUCUCAGGUCCCUCGUUGGCUGCUCGUCAGAUUUCUCUCUUCAAUUCCAAGCGCAUCUUAUGUAAACAAUAGUGUCUAUGAUAGUGGAUGUGAUUGUGUGCUACCUGGAUCUCCUAGCUGAAAUCCUUCGAAGAAUUUCCUUCAGUCAAUGGGAGCCACCUCCCCUGAGGUUAUGGCUCCAGGUGAAGAUUAAACAGCUGUAGAAGUGUCAUCCAAGAUUGGCCAAUGCUGUUCCUGAGAGUCCUU
rnacentral:lncRNA from 1 species